UGUUGGUUUUCCACUUUGAGUAGGUGAUUAAAAAUGGACGGAUGGAUGGAUGGGUAGAUAAGAAGAUGGGUGGAUGGAUGGGUAGAUGGAUGGACAGAUGAGUAGAUGGAUAGAUGGAUGGCCGGAUGGGGUGGAUGGAUGGAUGAAUGAAUGGACGGGAUGGCUGGCUGAGUGGAUGGGUGUGUGGGUGGAUGGAUGGAUAUAUGGAUGGGUGGGUCGGUGGGUGAAUGGAUGAGUAGACAGAAGGAUAGGUGGAUGGAUGGAUGAAUGAAUAGAUGGAUGGAAAAGUAGAUGGGUAAAUGAAUGGAUAGAUGGAUGAGUGGAUGGAUAGGUGGGUGGGUGGAUAGACAAGUUGGUAGGUGGAUCAGUGGAUGGGUGGGUGAGUGGAUGAAUGGAGGGACAGAUGAGUAGGUAGACAGGUAGGUGGGUGAAUGGAUGGAUGGAUGGACAGACAGGUGGGUAGAUGGAUGGAUGAAUGGGUGGGUGGGUGAGUGAAUGGGUAGAAAAGCACUGGGACUAUAGGUAUGAGCCACUGCACCCGGUAUAUGUAUUUUAAAUUUAGCCAUUAAAUUUGAAAGAUAAAGCAUAUAAAGUGGAUGUUUAAAAUCUUUUUCUUUUCUUUCUUUUUUUUUUUGAGACAGAGUCUCACUCUGUCACCCAGGCUGGAGUGCACUGGUGCGAUCUCAGCUCACUGCAACCUCCACCUCCCGGGUUCAAGCGAUUCUCCUGCCUCAGCCUCCCGAGUAGCUGGGACUACAGGUGCAUGCCACCAUGCCCGACUAAGUUUAUUUUUAGUAGAGAUGGGGUAAAAUCUUUUUCUUAAAUACAGCACAAACUCACAUCAUAGGGGUGCACCAAGUCACAUUUCAGCUGGAUGCCUGCAUGUCGAAAUCUCUGAUUAGCCAAAGCCAAUAUUACCAUCAACAGAAUAAACUCUGUGACAGAUGAAUAAAUCUGACAUUUUAUUUUUUAAAUAAUAUUUUAAAUUUAGG
rnacentral:lncRNA from 10 species